UCAAGCUACUAAGGGCAUACGGUGGAUGCCUAGGCGCCAUAAGCCGAAGAAGGACGCGGUAAGCUGCGAAAAGCCACGGGGAACUGCACGCAAGUAUAGAUCCGUGGAUAUCCGAAUGGGGAAACCCGGCAGGUGUCAUGACCUGUCACUCCCGUAAGGGAGGGGGAAACCCGGUGAACUGAAACAUCUAAGUAGCCGGAGGAAGAGAAAUCAAGCGAGAUACCCACAGUAGCGGCGAGCGAAGUGGGCAGAGCCCAAACCUUUGGACUUCGGUCCGGAGGGGUUGCGGACCGGCAUAAUCGAGAGACCAGCUAGUCGAGCUACCUGGAAAGGUAGGCAGAACAGGGUAAGAGCCCCGUAGACGAAAGCAGGGAUUGAGAGGCCGGAAUCCAGAGUACCGCGGAGCACGAGAAACUUUGCGGGAAGCAGGGGGGACCACCCUCCAAGGCUAAAGACUAGAUGGCGACCGAUAGUGGAUAGUACCAUGAGGGAACGGUGAAAAGCACCCCGGGAGGGGAGUGAAAGAGUACCUGAAACCGUAUGUUUACAAGCAGUCGGAGCGAAAGCGACGGCGUGCCUAUUGAAGAAUGAGCCAACGAGUUACGUGCACUAGCAAGGUUAAGCGGAAGACGCGGAGCCGUAGCGAAAGCGAGUCUGAACAGGGCGAGCAGUUAGUGUUCGUAGACCCGAAACUGCAGUGAUCUACCCAUGACCAGGCUGAAACGCAGGUAAAAUUGCGUGGAGGGCCGAACCUAUGAGCGUUGAAAAGCUUUAGAAUGAGUCGUGGGUAGGGGUGAAAUUCCAAUCGAACGCAGAGAUAGCUGGUUCUCCUCGAAAUAGCUUUAGGGCUAGCCUCAUGUAGUAAGCGCAGGCGGUAGAGCACUGAUCGGGAAAAGGUCCGUCAAGGAUACUUAACUCUUUCAAACUGCGAAUGGCGGCGCUGCAGAGCAUGGGAGUCAGACUACGAGUGAUAAGAUCCGUGGUCAAAAGGGAAACAGCCCAGACCAUCAGCUAAGGUCCCCAAUGCCGUACUAAGUGGAAAAGGAUGUGGGGUCUCAUAAACAACCAGGAUGUUGGCUCAGAAGCAGCCAUCAUUAAAAGAGUGCGUAAUAGCUCACUGGUCGAGAGACCCUGCGCCGAAGAUUCCCGGGGCUAAAGUACGGAACCGAAGCUAUGGAUGCAUGUGUAACAGCAUGCGUGGUAGAGGAGCGUUCCCUGAGGGUUGAAGUCGUGCUGUAAGGCACGGUGGACUUCAGGGAAGUGAGAAUGUUGGCAUGAGUAGCGAAAAGGAAGGUGAGAAUCCUUCCCACCGAAAGCAUAAGGAUUCCUGAGCAACGAUCGUCGUCUCAGGGUAAGUCGGGACCUAAUCCGAGGCGGAGAGCGUAGGAGAUGGACAUCCGGUUGAUAUUCCGGAACCGGCGGUAAUCGUCAAGAGCAAUGGAGUGACACAGGAGGCAGGGUGCGCAUGGGAAUGGAAGUCCAUGUGCAAGCGCGAAGGGUGGAGGAUAGGGAAACCCGUUCUCUGUAAGCCUGAGGCGUGACGCGGAGUUUUCAGCGAUGGAGACGAAGGUGCCUGAGCCACACUGUCAAGAAAAGCUUCUAGCAAGAGAGCCGUCGCCCGUACCGUAAACCGACACAGGUAUGCGGGGAGAGCAUCCUAAGGUGCGCGGGAGAACCCUCGUUAAGGAACUCGGCAAAUUGUACCCGUAACUUCGGGAAAAGGGUAGCCGCAGCAUGUGAAGGGACUUGCUCCCGGAGCAUGAGGCGGUCGCAGAGAAGAGGCCCAGGCGACUGUUUACCAAAAACACAGGUGCCUGCUAAAGCGUAAGCUGAAGUAUAGGUGCUGACACCUGCCCAGUGCUGGAAGGUUAAGGAAGGAAGUCCGGGGUCAUACCCAAAGCUUUCGACCGAAGCCCCAGUGAACGGCGGCCGUAACUAUAACGGUCCUAAGGUAGCGAAAUUCCUUGUCGGGU
rnacentral:rRNA from 1 species